GACGAACGCUGGCGGCGUGCUUAACACAUGCAAGUCGAACGGAAAGGCCCUGCUUGCAGGGUACUCGAGUGGCGAACGGGUGAGUAACACGUGGGUGAUCUGCCCUGCACUUCGGGAUAAGCUUGGGAAACUGGGUCUAAUACCGGAUAGGAGCCAUCUUUAGUGUGGUGGUUGGAAAGUUUUUUCGGUGUAGGAUGAGCUCGCGGCCUAUCAGCUUGUUGGUGGGGUAAUGGCCUACCAAGGCGGCGACGGGUAGCCGGCCUGAGAGGGUGUACGGCCACAUUGGGACUGAGAUACGGCCCAGACUCCUACGGGAGGCAGCAGUGGGGAAUAUUGCACAAUGGGCGCAAGCCUGAUGCAGCGACGCCGCGUGGGGGAUGAAGGCCUUCGGGUUGUAAACUCCUUUCGCUAGGGACGAAGCUUUUUUGUGACGGCACCUAGAGAAGAAGCACCGGCUAACUACGUG
rnacentral:rRNA from 1 species